CCUACGGGUGGCUGCAGUGAGGAAUAUUGGUCAAUGGGCGGGAGCCUGAACCAGCCAAGUCGCGUGAGGGACGACGGUCCUAUGGAUUGUAAACCUCUUUUGUCGGGGUACAAAGUCGCCCACGGGUGGGCGGAUGAGUGUACCCUACGAACAAGCAUCGGCUAACUCCGUGCCAGCAGCCGCGGUAAUACGGAGGAUGCGAGCGUUAUCCGGAUUUAUUGGGUUAAAGGGGUGCGUAGGCGGACCGUCAAGUCAGCGGUAAAAAUGCGGUGCUCAACGCCGUACAGCCGUUGAAACUGGCAGUCUGGAGUGGGCGAGAAGUAUGCGGAAUGCGUGGUGUAGCGGUGAAAUGCAUAGAUAUCACGAAGAACUCCGAUUGCGAAGGCAGCAUACCGGCGCCCGACUGACGCUGAGGCACGAAAGCGUGGGUAUCGAACAGGAUUAGAUACCCUGGUAGUC
rnacentral:rRNA from 1 species